UAACGCGUUAAGUAUCCCGCCUGGGGAGUACGCACGCAAGUGUGAAACUCAAAGGAAUUGACGGGGGCCCGCACAAGCGGUGGAGUAUGUGGUUUAAUUCGAUGCAACGCGAAGAACCUUACCAAGACUUGACAUCCUGCGAAUUCCGGUGAAAGCUGGGAGUGCCUUAGGGAGCGCAGAGACAGGUGGUGCAUGGCUGUCGUCAGCUCGUGUCGUGAGAUGUUGGGUUAAGUCCCGCAACGAGCGCAACCCUCGUUUUUAGUUGCCAGCAUUAAGUUGGGCACUCUAG
rnacentral:rRNA from 2 species